CGCCGUUGGUGAGGAUCCCGAGGCCGAGGGCGCUGAAGCCGUUCUCGUCGCGGAGGAUCGUGGCCACCAGCGGCAC
rnacentral:tRNA from 2 species